GACGUAGGGCGCGAGCGUUGUCCGGAUUUAUUGGGCGUAAAGAGCUCGUAGGCGGCUUGUCGCGUCGACUGUGAAAACCCACGGCUCAACCGCGGGACUGCAGUCGAUACGGGCAGGCUAGAGUUCGGUAGGGGAGACUGGAAUUCCUGGUGUAGCGGUGAAAUGCGCAGAUAUCAGGAGGAACACCGGUGGCGAAGGCGGGUCUCUGGGCCGAUACUGACGCUGAGGAGCGAAAGCGUGGGGAGCGAACAGG
rnacentral:rRNA from 1 species